rnacentral:ncRNA from 1 species
CGCGGGAGUCCGGGGAGCCGGGCUGAGAGGGAAGCCGAUCCGCUUCCGACCGCCGAACCUGACCUGGAUCAUACCAGCGGAGGAAG